rnacentral:rRNA from 1 species
GACGAACGCUGGCGGCGUGCCUAAUACAUGCAAGUUGAGCGCUGAAGGUUGGUACUUGUACCAACUGGAUGAGCAGCGAACGGGUGAGUAACGCGUGGGGAAUCUGCCUUUGAGCGGGGGACAACAUUUGGAAACGAAUGCUAAUACCGCAUAACAACUUUAAACACAAGUUUUAAGUUUGAAAGAUGCAAUUGCAUCACUCAAAGAUGAUCCCGCGUUGUAUUAGCUAGUUGGUGAGGUAAAGGCUCACCAAGGCGAUGAUACAUAGCCGACCUGAGAGGGUGAUCGGCCACAUUGGGACUGAGACACGGCCCAGACUCCUACGGGAGGCAGCAGUAGGGAAUCUUCGGCAAUGGACGAAAGUCUGACCGAGCAACGCCGCGUGAGUGAAGAAGGUUUUCGGAUCGUAAAACUCUGUUGGUAGAGAAGAACGUUGGUGAGAGUGGAAAGCUCAUCAAGUGACGGUAACUACCCAGAAAGGGACGGCUAACUACGUG